rnacentral:rRNA from 1 species
GACAGAGGAUGCAAGCGUUGUCCGGAAUUAUUGGGCGUAAAGAGCUCGUAGGCGGUCUGUUGCGUCUGCUGUGAAAACCCGGGGCUUAACCCCUGGCUUGCAGUGGAUACGGACAGACUAGAGGUAGGUAGGGGAGAAUGGAAUUCCCGGUGUAGCGGUGAAAUGCGCAGAUAUCGGGAGGAACACCGGUGGCGAAGGCGGUUCUCUGGGCCUUACCUGACGCUGAGGAGCGAAAGCGUGGGGAGCGAACAGG